GAUGAACGCUGGCGGCGUGCCUAAUACAUGCAAGUCGAGCGAAAGGAUUAAGAGCUUGCUCUUAUGAAGUUAGCGGCGGACGGGUGAGUAACACGUGGGUAACCUGCCCAUAAGACUGGGAUAACUCCGGGAAACCGGGGCUAAUACCGGAUAACAUUUUGAACCGCAUGGUUCGAAAUUGAAGGGCGGCUUCGGCUGUCACUUAUGGAUGGACCCGCGUCGCAUUAGCUAGUUGGUGAGGUAACGGCUCACCAAGGCAACGAUGCGUAGCCGACCUGAGAGGGUGAUCGGCCACACUGGGACUGAGACACGGCCCAGACUCCUACGGGAGGCAGCAGUAGGGAAUCUUCCGCAAUGGACGAAAGUCUGACGGAGCAACGCCGCGUGAGUGAUGAAGGCUUUCGGGUCGUAAAACUCUGUUGUUAGGGAAGAACAAGUGCUAGUUGAAUAAGCUGGCACCUUGACGGUACCUAACCAGGAAGCCACGGCUAACUACGUGCCAGCCGCCGCCGUAA
rnacentral:rRNA from 1 species